GCCAGUGUGGUGAAAUUGGUAGACACAGUAGAUUCAAAAUCUACCGCCUUCGGGUGUACCGGUUCGAGUCCGGUCACUGGUA
rnacentral:tRNA from 1 species